rnacentral:rRNA from 1 species
GGAGGUGGGCGUGAGCUCGGAGGCGGGCGUGAGAGACGAGAGAAGGGGCUAGGGGAGGGUACUUGGGAUCGUAGGACCACGUCGGUGGGGAAGGAAGGGGGCAGGUAGGGGUGGGGAGGGGGCGCGGCGCUCGGGAAGGGAGGAGAAGCAGCGGUGACGACAGAGAGGAGAAGGAGGGGCGAGAUCGGGGAGGUCCAGCAGCGAGCGCCACCAAGGUCUAGGACGCGACCAGCAGGGGUACCCACUCCUCCCCUCCAACCCAGAAGUUCCACCUCCACCUCCCCUCUGGCCGUCGCACCCCUCCUCGUCACUCGGUCCUCGGUCCCUCUCCGGUUGCAGCCCCUGUUCUUCGUCGCCCCGGUCGCCAGGCAGCGCCACCAAACCUCCCUCUCCCUCUCCCUCCUCCAGCCGGUGCUCUCUUCCUCGUCCGGCCGGGACGAAGCAGUACCUCCUACAGGUCGACGAGCAGCAGGAGGCGGAGAAGAGGUUCGCAGGUAGGAUAGUGUUGAGUCGAAGUCUUAACCCACGCAUACUUGUUACGUUACCUCCAAUACAAUUAAGGAUCUCAGAAUAUACAAGAAAACAGAGGACCACUAAUGAAGCUUACCGAUACACUCCUUGUGUCCAACGUUAAGGUCAAAGUAGUUGCCUGAGCGAGCGACGAGAUCUUCCACGAACCCGAACAAAGAGACUGGCUAAAUAACCCUGUAGAGUGUACCUAGAAGUGACGGAGUAUAUGGAUAAAAAAUAAGAGAGCAGUUAAGGUGUGCAGACGAGCAGGUAACGUGCCAUGAUCUACCAGGGAGAAUUCAAUUAAGCUCUUGCAACUGGACCUCAGGAGGAAAAUGUAUAAACCAGAAGAACCUUAGUUCGUUUUUAAUGAUUCUUCGUGUAUUGACUAAUAAAGAAGACGAAUCGGAGUAAAGACAAUACGUGUGUCAAAAGCUGAGAUACGUUAAGAACCACGUUCCCCGGGGCGAAGGAACAACACUGCAACGUCGGAAUGACCGGGAAGACGUCCAUACGAUCGAGGAAGAGAGGAGAAGAAAGUAUGACUACGUUAAGAGAGUAUGACUACCUUUUCCUCUCCACGUUUAGACUUCUAAUAGGUUACUCCAUACAUGUUCGCGGAGACCGUUUGGGAGCUCUUUCUUUCGCUUCCUAUUUACCUCCGGUUCCUACCAACGGUAAAAAACAUAUAACACUACCGAAGUUGGGACUUUGUUCUUAUAUUCCCUAGGACUCUUGUGAGUCGAACGCGGUACCGUCAGACUGAUAAUGUUGUUCUGUCUUCUCUCGGCCUCUUGUGAAUCGAACGUGACACCCAACGGUUUAUAAAAAGUUAUAUGAUACCUGGGGGACACAAACGAGCUCACAUAACAUUUGGUUUUAGUACUCUCGAGGUGUGUAUUUAAAACGGGUCUGAAUGAUACAAGGAAGUUCACAUUCGUAAACUUUAAGAACUACGUAAACUCUGCCACCUUUGCUCUCUUCGACCCUCGCAUCGUGACUGGCACUGACACUAACGAUCUCGAGAUUCUCUAUCUACCUCCAGAGUUGACCGACCCUUCUAAACUGUUCUCUACACCUCUACCCCGUGCCCCUCCCCUCCCGCUCAGCCGGACCUCCGGGGCCAACACCGAAGCUGAUCCGUCCGGACCCUGAGCGCCACCGCCCGCCGGAGCGCGACCUCGACCAGGACCGCCCGCCGGAGCCGGAGCAGGUGUGCCUGAAGAGGACCAACAGCUUGGCCAACUCCUAUUUUACAUUCUAUAAAGACAAACCUUUCCAAAGGACUGCAGGCCUGGCCAGUAUGAAAACGUUCUAUGUACGCUCCUAACGACACAGGUUGGACGUGUUCUUACGGUUCUUUAGGAGCCUCUGCAUUCGGUGCUGCGUACAAAGACGGUACUAAAGGAAGCCAACCUAAAGCACCUAAAUCCACAAGUUUUAAAAACCCGACACCUACGCCCUAAUUCCUGUACAUGAACGUGAUGUUGCUCUCUAGACCCAACGAAGAAACACCGAAGGUUUGAACUUUACAAACAAACCUUCAAUCAAAUCAAAAGACAAUACCUAAGUGUCGAAUAGUGUACAUGGUAGGAGAAUCUGGAAAUCUAAAAGUUUCUUUCAUUUACUUCUAUAGUACCAUACCAG